rnacentral:rRNA from 1 species
AACGAACGCUGGCGGCAUGCCUAACACAUGCAAGUCGAACGAGACCUUCGGGUCUAGUGGCGCACGGGUGCGUAACGCGUGGGAACCUGCCCUUAGGUUCGGAAUAACUCCCCGAAAGGGGUGCUAAUACCGGAUCAUGUCUUCGGACCAAAGAUUUAUCGCCUUUGGAUGGGCCCGCGUUGGAUUAGCUAGUUGGUAGGGUAAAAGCCUACCAAGGCGACGAUCCAUAGCUGGUCUGAGAGGAUGAUCAGCCACACUGGGACUGAGACACGGCCCAGACUCAUACGGGAGGCAGCAGUGGGGAAUAUUGGACAAGGGGCGAAAGCCUGAUCCAGCAAUGCCGCGUGAGUGAUGAAGGCCUUAGGGUUGUAAAGCUCUUUUACCCGGGAUGAUAAUGACAGUACCGGGAGAAUAAGCGCCGGCUAACUCCGUG